CAGUGAUAAACUGGAGGAAGGUGGGGAUGACGUCAAGUCAUCAUGGCCCUUACGACCAGGGCUACACACGUGCUACAAUGGCGCAUACAAAGAGAAGCGACCUCGCGAGAGCAAGCGGACCUCAUAAAGUGCGUCGUAGUCCGGAUUGGAGUCUGCAACUCGACUCCAUGAAGUCGGAAUCGCUAGUAAUCGUGGAUCAGAAUGCCACGGUGAAUACGUUCCCGGGCCUUGUACACACCGCCCGUCACACCAUGGGAGUGGGUUGCAAAAGAAGUAGGUAGCUUAACCUUCGGGAGGGCGCUUACCACUUUGUGAUUCAUGACUGGGGUGA
rnacentral:rRNA from 2 species